GCAUCCAACCCAGGAACACCUCGCUCCGGCUGGAAGGCCCAGGUGCAGCUGGAGGGGGACUGAAAGGGUCAGACCACGGGAUUGUUCUCAACUUUGCGCUUUUACACAGCAGUUUGGAAGACAAAGGGGCUUUUCAGGUAGGUUUGGUUUACCGUCCCCCUCCUCCCAGGCCCAAGCUUGGUCCCCAAUGUCCCCAGCAAUGCUUGGGACGCCCCUCACUUCGCUCCUUUUUUGGGGGGCCACUGCCCACCCCUAGGUUGCCUGCUGUCCCUCCUAGAGAGAGGCGGAUGGCCGUGACAUUCCAGGGAGAACAAAGGGAGGGGUGAGGGGGCAAAGACGCCCUUCUAAAGUUUCACCCCGGAAAAACAUCCCACUCCGCCCGCCAGGCACCCUCAGGCUACAGCCUUCGCGAGAGCCCCCUCCCUUCGCCCCACCCCUCGGCAAGGGGGAGGGGCGCUGUGCGGCCGGCCCUCUCUGAUUGGCUGUCGCGUCAAGGUUCCACGCUGCGAUUGUGCCGUGGGCGGCAGUAGGCGCCUGCGGUGCGCAGAGUGGGUAACCGGCGUUGGGAGUCGCUGGAAGUCGGAGGCGGGGGAGCGGUCACUAGCAGUGAGCGCGGGCAGCGGCUGGGCGCAAAGUCGAGAGCAGUCCCUAGUCUAAGCUUUUCCGUCGUCCUCCGGCACCGCCAGUACCACGGACUCCACCCUGCCGCGGCCCCUCGGAGAUGCGGUGCAGCUGCUACUCGACCAGGCUGUAAAGAAGACAUAGCCCUGGCAUAUGCUUCUGGGGAGGCCUCUGGAAGUCUACAAUCAUGGCAGAAGAUGAAGCAGAAUCUUGCACAUCACAGGACAAAAAGCAGGAGCAAAAAACAAAGGAGUGGCUAUCUUCAUUGAAAAUUUGUUCUCAAAAGCCUUGAAAUAGAACAUAGUUUUGGCAGCAACUUCAAAGUCAUUUGAGGAGAAGGGGAGAUUUAUAAUGAUAAUUCAAAUGAAGCAAACUAAAAAUUAAUGAAGCAAGACAGAGGAAAAAGCAACAUUUACCUGAGCACAAUCCAAAAGAAUAAAAUUUCAAAUGUAACUAGAAAAAAGUAUGCUGAAGAUCAUAUUACAGAAAUAAUUAUUAAUACUCAAAAUAGCUCUAAAGCCCUGCUCACUUUUUGAAUGCUGGAAAUUAACCAAGAGGGGCCUGUAACUCUAAGAUGGUUCCUUCAGUAAUGACCAUUUUCUUUUACAAGACGUUGAGUAUUCUCUACCUUCUAAGAGACCAGCAUUGCUCAUCAAUGCUGAGCAAUGGAAAGUGAAGGUGUUCAGUUUUGGUAAGUUCUUAGUGAAAUCCAUGACCUUUUUCUUCAUAUUCUGGACUCCCAAUGUGACUGAUGAAAGUUACAACAUGCUCUGCAGGGGGAAAUGCUUUAGCGUGUAUUACUAUAUUAUAAUCUCAUCUUUGUAGAGCCAGAAGCAUUUUGAAAGUCACAUCGUGACAUUGCUUAAAUAUAGUUUGUUUUUACCAAAGCAUAACACAUUGUAUCAUCUUGUAUUAAUUAGUUGAGUCAAAAUUACUGCUAAUUACUUAGUGGUUUCAUGAUUUAUCUUAGUGUUAAAACCUUCUUUAUUUCAGAACAAUUUCACCUCUUGGUUUUCGUUUUUGCAGUGUGUCACUGCCUGCCAGCUGCUAAUCUGCUAAUACCCAGUGGAUCAUGUGACCUGUGAAGGGACUGAAGGAGAUAUUAGUGGCAAAUUAUGUUGAUGAUUCGUAUUUUGAAUAAAUAGAACAUUAAGUUUGUAUACAUUUUGAAAAUAGUAUUUUAAUAUUCAACUGUGUCAUAGUCAUUAUAAUUGGAUGUAUGUUGAAUUUAUAUGUAUAUUAAGUUUUUACAUGUUUAUGUUCUUUAGCAUUCUAACUUGCAACUGCAUAUCUGUAAAGACUUUUUCUUUUUCAAGAAGAUCAAACUGACUUAUUGAGCCAUCUGAUUGAUGUCAAGUUGGGUGGCCCAAGCUCUGUGUAGGGAUAAGGUUGAAGCAGAAAGAACAGUGGUGAGAGGCAAGGGUGCCAGACAGGCCGAUCCUCUAUCAUGCCCACAGAGAAAUCCUCUUUCCCCAGGGCUUGGGGAGCAGCCAGAUUCCAUGAGUUAAAUGCAGAUCUGAACCAUACCAAGCUGGGAUCGCGGUACACACUUUCCUCUUCUGAAGAGUAGCUAGGGAUUCCAACUUGGUGAGAGGGAGACUGUGGCAGAGCCAGACUAGACAAGGACUAAUCACCCGAAAAAGACUGCCAUCAAAGAACUUGGUGAGUGCUGGGUGCCGUGGCUCAAGCCUGUAAUCCCAGCAUUUUGGGAGGCUGAGUUGGGUGGAUCACCUGAGGCCAGGAGUUUGAGUCCAGCCUGGGCAACAUAACAGAAUCCUGUCUAUACUAAAAAUACAAAAAUUAGGCAUGCUAUGCUUCUGUAAUCCCAGCUACUUGGGAGGCUGAGGUAGGAGAAUCGUUUUAACUGGGGAGACAGAGGUUGAAGUGAGCUGAGAUCAUGCCACUGCAUUCCAGUCUGGGAGACAGAGUGAACCUGUGUCUCAGAAAAAGAAAAAGAAAAAGAAAAUAGCCUUGGCAGAGUGGCUGGCCUGACAAUGCCUUCCCUAGGGUUUCUCCUGGGUAGGGUUCUGUCAUGAGGAGGCACUUUUUUCUCCCUGUUCAUGGCCUGAAUCCAAGAAAUUUGUUUUUCUGGGGGUUGGGUGGUGGACAGAACUGGAAACCUUCUUUAGGUGAUUUUUUGUUGUUGUUGUUUGUUUUUUGUUUUUUUUUUUUUAAGAUGAAAUCUCAUUGUGUCACCUAGGCUGGAGUGCAGUGGCUCAAUCUUGGCUCACUGAAAUCUCCUCCCUUCUGGUUUCAAGCGAUUCCCAUGUCUCUGCCUCCUAAGUAGCUGAGAUUACAUGCAUGUGCUACUGCACCGGCUAAUUUUUGUAUUUUUUAUAGAGAUGGGUUUUCAAGCUCCUGACCUCAAGUGAUCUGCCCAUUUUGGCCUCCCAACGUGCUGGGAUUACAGGCAUGAGCCACCAUACCCGGCCCCUUCAGGUGGGUUUUGAGGCUUCACUACAACACUAAUUUUCUGUUGCUGCUGCAACAAAUUACUGCACACUAAGUGGCUUGAGACAAAACAGAUGUCUGCCCUUACAGUUCUGAAGGCCAGAAUUCUAAAGUCAGUCUUACCGAGUCAAGGGGGUAGCAGGGCCAAUGCCUUCUGAGGCUCUGCAGGAGAAUCCCUUUCCUGGCCCUGGAGAUGGCCUGCAAUCCUAAGUUUGUGCUGCCCUUCUUGAAUGACUUCAGUUUCCUGCUUCCAUUACUACACCUCCCACCACUCUCCAUCACCUGCUCUGCCCUUAUAAGAAUCCGAGUGAGUACACCAACCCAGCUGGGACAGGCUGGGAUAAUCUUCCCAGCCAAAGAUUGUUAACUUUGUUAAGGCAAAGCCCCUUUUGUCAUACCAGGUCAUGUUCACUGGUUCUUGUGAUUAGGAUAUGGGUACCUUAAGGGGUUACUAUCAGCCUACUACAGCAAGGCUGCAAAACUAUUACACCCUUUUGGUGUUUUAAUGAUUGAGAGAAAAAGGGUUGGGAUUUUUUUUGGGGCUAGGUUCCUCCUAAUCGUGUAUCCUUAAAGUCUGGGGUCCAUCUUAACCUUGUUUCUUUUCUUUUUUUUUCUUUCUUUCUCUCUCUCUCUUUUUUUUUUUUUUUUUACUUUUUUGAUAUGGAGCGUUGUUCUGUUGCCCAUGCUGGCAGCGGCAAGGUCUCAGCUCACUGCCACCUGGGCUCAGGCAAUUCUCCUGCCUCAGCCUCCUGAGUAGCUGAGACUACAGGUGCCUGCCACCACACCUGACUAAGUUUUGUAUUCUUAGUAGAGAAGGGGGUGGAGCGUGGUGGUGGGGGGAUGGGGGUUUCCAGUCUGUUUCCCUGAGCCCAAAGCGAUCUGGCUGCCUCUGCUCCCAAAGUACUGGGAUUACAGUCCUGCACCACUGCACCUGGCUGCUGUAAAGUCUUAUUUCCACACAGCUGAGACAUGUUUUUGGAAGUUUGCUAACGGGCCCCUGGAGACCUCCUCAUUGUGGUUUUCCUGUUGUGUUUAAUUUGAUUGAUCUUUUCUGCUUUCCAGAAAUUAAAAGGCUAACAUGAGGUACUAAACUUUAAAACUUCUCUUUUCAUUUAUUUAUUUAUUUUUUGAGAUGGAGUCUCACUUUGUCACCCAGGCUGGAGGGCAGUGGCAUGACAUAGGCUCACUGCAACUUUCGCCUCCUGGGUUAAAGUGAUUCUCUUGCCUCGGCAUCCCAAGUAGCUGGGAUUACCGAAGCACACCACUACACCUGGCUGUUUUAUAUUUUUGGUAGAGAUAAGGUUUUAUUAUGUUGGCCAGACUAAUCUCAAGUGAUCCACUUGCCUCAGUCUCCCAAAGUGCUGGGAUUACAGGUGUGCACCACUGCACCUGCCCUAAAACUUCUCUUGUAUUCUCCCAUUAAACUUAUUCUAAGAACCACCGAAACAGAAACUUUUUUGAAAGCAGUAAAAUGAUAUGGAUGGUUAGAAUGUAAAAUACAGGAAAUAAGUCAUUAUAUUUUAGUGCUGCUCUGACAUAGGGAUAUAUUAUUGAGAAUCAACUUUUGCUCAGUUUUCAGAGAAUAAAAUAAUUCUUUCACUGAUCUAGGAAAAGUUGAAGAGCUGUUUGAAAG
rnacentral:lncRNA from 1 species